rnacentral:rRNA from 2 species
GAGUGGAGCCUGCGGCUUAAUUUACUCAACACGGGAAAACUCACCUGGUCCGGACACUGGAAGGAUUGACAGAUUGAAAGCUCUUUCUUGAUUCAGUGGGUGGUGGUGCAUGGCCGUUCUUAGUUGGUGGAGUGAUUUGUCUGGUUAAUUCCGAUAACGAACGAGACUCUAGCCUGCUAACUAGUUCGCCGACAGCUCGUUGUCGCGCGGCGCCAUUUCGGUGGCAAACUUCUUAGAGGGACAGGUGGCGUAUAGCCACACGAAGUAGAGCAAUAACAGGUCUGUGAUGCCCUUAGAUGUCCAGGGCCGCACGCGCGCUACACUGAAAGAAUCAACGUGGAUGCCCACCUGCUCCGAGAGGAGUGGGAAACCCGAUGAAUCUCUUUCGUGAUGGGGAUUGGGGCUUGUAAUUAUUCCCCAUGAACGAGGAAUUCCCAGUAAGCGUCAGUCAUCAGCUGGCGUUGAUUACGUCCCUGCCCUUUGUACACACCGCCCGUCGCUACUACCGAUUGAAUGGUUUAGUGAGACCCUCGGACUGGAAUCCGUUUGCUGCUUUCGGGUGGCGGACGGGGACGGAAAGACGGUCG